rnacentral:lncRNA from 1 species
UGAAACCCCGUCUCUACUAAAAAUACAAAAAGUAAAUAUUUUCCAAAACUUGAAUGUGUGUUUACUCAAAAACAUCCUAUCAAGGUGUAAUUUUGGAGGUAGAAUAUAUUACCAAUUUAUUUUACUAAUGCAUGUACAAUCUGUUGUUCUACACGAACAAAACAAAAAAAAAACAGAGUUUGGCUCUUGUCGCCCAGUCUGCAGUACAGUGGCGUGAUCUCGGCACAAAGAACUCCUGAAAACAGAUAGAAAAAGUCAACAACUCAGUAACAAAAUGGCCAUACAAAGCAAACAGACAUUUAACCAAAGCAGAAACAUGAAUGACUGGAAAACAUAUAAUCCAAAGCUAGAGCUUUUUAUUUAUUUAUUUAUUUAUUUAUUUAUUUAUUUAUUUAUUUUUAUUUUUUGAGACGGAGUCUUACUCUGUCACCCAGGCUGAGAGUGCAGGGGCGCGAUCUUGGCUCACUUCAAGCUCUGCCUCCCAGGUUCACGCCAUUCUCCUGCCUCAGCCUCCCUAGUAGCUGGGACUACCGGUGCCCGCCAUCACGCCCAGCUACUUUUUUGUAUUUUUCAGUAGAGACAGGGUUUCACUGUGUUAGCCAGGAUGGUCUCGAUCUCAUGACCUCGUGAUCAGCCCUCCUCGGCCUCCCAAAGUGCUGGGAUUACAGGCAUGAGCCUCCACGCCCAGCAGCUAGACCUUUUUAGUAACCAGGAAAAUAAUACUAAAUAAACAAAUUACCAUUUCAUGUCCACUGAAUUGGCAAGAAUUUAAAAGUCUGACUAUCUCAGAUGUUGGAGAGAAUGUGGAGCAAUGAAAACUAUGAUCCACUGUUGGUGAGAGUGGGAACUGGCUCAUUGAUUUUGGAAAACGAUUUAGCAUUAUGUAGUAAAGUUACAGAUGCAUAUAUCGCACUAUCCAGCAAUUCCACUUUCUAUAUCCUCUAGAAAGCCUUGCUUGUGAACAGCGGGAGACAUCCACAAGAAUGUUCCUGAUAGUUUGGAAACAACCUGGCUGUCAGUGGUAAGGGGAGUAAAUAGAUAACUUGUGGUCUAUUUAUACAAUUGAAUACUCUGCAUCAGAGAAUCAACUACAUGCAUAUGAAUGAAUCUCACAAAUAAAAUUCUGAACAAACAAGGCCAAUCACAGAAGGCAUAAAAUAGUAUACCUUUCAUAUAAAGUUCAAAUACUUGUAAAACUAAUACUAUUUUGUUAGGGAUUCAUAUAUAUAAGGAGUAUAUAUGUGUAUGUGUGUGUGUAUCUCUGUCUACCUAUAUCUAUAUGUAGUAAAACUUAUUGAAAAGGAUGAGAAUAAUAAACACAAAAAGUCUGGACAGUUGUUAUCUCUGAAGUGAAGGAGUGUGAGAAAUAACUCAUAUGAGUGCCAAAGGCAUUAGAAAAGUUUUCUUUCUUAUACUAGGUGAUAAAAACAGGGAUAUAAAUUUUACUGUUAUCAUUUAUACUUACUUCAUAUUUAUUAUUUUAUAUGUAUGAAAUAUUUCAUAAUUUUUAGAAGCCAAAAGAGAAAUAUAUAUAAAUUCUUAUUAUCGAAUAACUUUUGCAGAAACUAAGUUUAUUUGGAUAAAGAUUAAAAAUGUGUAACACACACUAUUUAGCACUCUUCGGGCAACAUAAGGUGAAAGACGUGUUGACCCGGCAUGGGUUUAGAGCAUUCCUAACACAGCGCACAUU